GAUGAACGCUGGCGGCGUGCCUAAUACAUGCAAGUCGAGCGAACGGACGAGAAGCUUGCUUCUCUGAUGUUAGCGGCGGACGGGUGAGUAACACGUGGAUAACCUACCUAUAAGACUGGGAUAACUUCGGGAAACCGGAGCUAAUACCGGAUAAUAUUUUGAACCGCAUGGUUCAAAAGUGAAAGACGGUCUUGCUGUCACUUAUAGAUGGAUCCGCGCUGCAUUAGCUAGUUGGUAAGGUAACGGCUUACCAAGGCAACGAUGCAUAGCCGACCUGAGAGGGUGAUCGGCCACACUGGAACUGAGACACGGUCCAGACUCCUACGGGAGGCAGCAGUAGGGAAUCUUCCGCAAUGGGCGAAAGCCUGACGGAGCAACGCCGCGUGAGUGAUGAAGGUCUUCGGAUCGUAAAACUCUGUUAUUAGGGAAGAACAUAUGUGUAAGUAACUGUGCACAUCUUGACGGUACCUAAUCAGAAAGCCACGGCUAACUACGUGCCAGCAGCCGCGGUAAUACGUAGGUGGCAAGCGUUAUCCGGAAUUAUUGGGCGUAAAGCGCGCGUAGGCGGUUUUUUAAGUCUGAUGUGAAAGCCCACGGCUCAACCGUGGAGGGUCAUUGGAAACUGGAAAACUUGAGUGCAGAAGAGGAAAGUGGAAUUCCAUGUGUAGCGGUGAAAUGCGCAGAGAUAUGGAGGAACACCAGUGGCGAAGGCGACUUUCUGGUCUGUAACUGACGCUGAUGUGCGAAAGCGUGGGGAUCAAACAGGAUUAGAUACCCUGGUAGUCCACGCCGUAAACGAUGAGUGCUAAGUGUUAGGGGGUUUCCGCCCCUUAGUGCUGCAGCUAACGCAUUAAGCACUCCGCCUGGGGAGUACGACCGCAAGGUUGAAACUCAAAGGAAUUGACGGGGACCCGCACAGGCGGUGGAGCAUGUGGUUUAAUUCGAAGCAACGCGAAGAACCUUACCAAAUCUUGACAUCCUUUGACAACUCUAGAGAUAGAGCCUUCCCCUUCGGGGGACAAAGUGACAGGUGGUGCAUGGUUGUCGUCAGCUCGUGUCGUGAGAUGUUGGGUUAAGUCCCGCAACGAGCGCAACCCUUAAGCUUAGUUGCCAUCAUUAAGUUGGGCACUCUAAGUUGACUGCCGGUGACAAACCGGAGGAAGGUGGGGAUGACGUCAAAUCAUCAUGCCCCUUAUGAUUUGGGCUACACACGUGCUACAAUGGACAAUACAAAGGGCAGCGAAACCGCGAGGUCAAGCAAAUCCCAUAAAGUUGUUCUCAGUUCGGAUUGUAGUCUGCAACUCGACUACAUGAAGCUGGAAUCGCUAGUAAUCGUAGAUCAGCAUGCUACGGUGAAUACGUUCCCGGGUCU
rnacentral:rRNA from 1 species